ensembl:lncRNA novel transcript, antisense to POLR3B, RFX4 and RIC8B.
AAUGAGGGGGGUGGGGAAGGAUGCGAUGUGCAAGCACGGAGGGCGGCCCGGGGGUGCGAUACCGCACGCCCGGGGCCAGGACUCUUUACCUUGUCGCUGUAAUCCCUCAGGACCCGCUCGAUAGCCCCUGCUUCGCCGGCCCGGACGAUGUAGAGGGCGCGCUCCUCAUCCAUGGCCGCAGGUGCGGGGGAGCCGCGGCCGCUCUGCGCGCCCAAGCCGCUGCCUCCAGGGAAGGAAGCAACUACCAUGUGCUACUUAAUCCACACAACGAUCCAGGGAGGAAGAACUGUCACCUCUAUUUUGAAGAUGAAGAAAUGGACACAGAGCGCCCGACAGGCAAUGCCUCUGAAAAACCUACAGGUCACUGACCGUCAUUCGUGAUGGGAAGCCGUGUGGGUUCAUGAUGAUGUCCGGACAGAUGCCAGAAUCACAAAAUGGCAUGUCUUCCUGGGGGACGAUCAAGCCACAAACACCUGGGGGAGAGAAGAUUUCAUGCCACAUAAAGCAAGUUGGCAGAAAGGAAGAAUACAGUACUUAAUUGGGAUCUCCCCGCUGCUAUCUCUAUUUCCA